AAGUAAAAGAAACAAGAGAGAGAGAGAGAGAGAGAGAAAAAAGAGAAAGAGCGCGAUUUACGCGAACAAUAGUCUCUCGCAGCUCUACUUUACAUUAUCACAGACAAUCGACGAAGGGCGUUCGUCAUGCCCUCGCCACGUUCACGGAAU